GCUAUAAGUCGGGGCUCAUCAAAUGUUAAUAUCACUGGUGUAACAUGCAGACCAGGAAAUGGUAUCAGGUUACAAGGCCCUUUUUUGCCUUUGUUCAUCUCUCCAUCUAAAUUUUAAAAAACUUUACUACAAAUUAUCUUAAAAAAUAAAUUUUAAAAAAAAUAAAAAAAAAUUGGUAACAAAAUAAAUAUUAUUGAUGAUAAACAAUUGAGUGUCAAAAGUACAUCAAUAGAAAUCUAAUAUUACCUGCAAAGAGAAGGGUGUUUACCCAAUCAAUGCCCCAACACAUUAAGCAAUUAAUCGCCUAACCAUUUUCUCUUUUGUCUUUUCUUUUUCUUUUUUCAAUACCUCUACAUUCCAGAAAAUAACCUUCAUUAAGAAAAAUAGAAAACCCAAUGAAGUGCCUAAAUAGAACAGUAGGGCCAUUGAUUCUGGUGCUUAUUGCCCUGCUUGUGAAGCAAAGUCAUACAAUUUUCUUCCAGUUCGACAAUCCCACUAACAACUUCAUCACCUUUCCCGUCAUUACUCCAAUCCAAACCAAGUAGUUUGCCCAUUUUUCAUUCCAUACGAGUCCGGAUCCUCUAGAGCGAUUUAGGUUCUUUCUAUACAGCCUUAGCUUCAUCAAGAAUCAAUUGAUUCCUGUUCAGAAUACCUCCAGUAGACGGGAACAAAGGAGCAUAUUGUUACCCUGUGUCUGAUUCUUUACUUCUUGUAACAUUUACAAUGAUCAUGUUUAAGAAAAAGGUAAUCUUUCAAUGCAGCAUUGGGGCCUUGGGGCACGGAGGGUAUGACAGAGUGGAAGGAAUUCAUGUGAGCAAUUGUACAUUCAAAGGAACUAUGAAUGGUGUGAGAAUUUAGACUUGGCAGGGAGGAAAUGGGUAUGCAAGGAAGGUUUCAUUUGAGAAUAUUACGCUGGUCCAAGUCAAUAAUCCCAUCUUAAUUGAUCAGUUCUAUUGUCCUAGUCGAGUCGACUGCCAAAACAAAACAUCAGCAGUUGAACUGAGUGAUAUAUCAUACUCUGGAAUUAUGGGGACAUCAACUGCAGAUGAGGUGAUAAAUCUGAGUUGCAGCCAGAGUGGCAGCGGCGGCUGCACCGACAUUUCACUUGACUGUGUGUACAUAGCCUCCACAAUUCCAGGGAAGAAGACUUAUGCGAACUGUCUCAAUGCCCACGGAAGAUCUACCCAUACUAAACCUGCUGUCAAAUGCCUAUUGCAAUAGCUGAAUCGCAUGCCUAUAUAUUGUUGUUUUCAUUGUGAUUCUGAUGAUUGCAAUGUGAUUCUAGAGUAGAGGUUUCAAGCCCAAAUGGCUCCAGAAUUACUCUUGAUUUUGGAGUAUGAUGAGACUUUCUUUGAAUUGGUGCCAUUUUCUAUUUACCAGUUAUUGUAUAUAUGGGCAACUU